UCCUAAAGGUUAACUCAGCUCAUAUCUGUUUAUCAAGGAUGGCCAGGACACUGUACCCUAAGUUUGCAGAGAGAAGCUCCGGCCUUGUUAUAGAACAGCCUGUUGUAAAAUGAAAUGACCUAGGCUGUUGGAGGCUUCUUAAGCGUCUGAGAAAAUAGCUCACUUGAAUGACUGAUCCUUGAUCUACUGAGAAAGUUGCUGACAGUCUGUUCUCAUUCUCCUAGACUUAUAACUUUAUAUUUCUUUAUUUCUACAUUCUCAUUUCUGGAAUCUACAUUUUUAUUUUCUUAUUCUUGGACUCCUCAAUAUCAGACAGAGACUCCCAGAUCCUGGCAGUGACCUGACCCAAAGUCUCCAAAGAAGAUUAUGGGACACCAUGAUGUCUCCACCGGGAUAAUGAUGAUGCUGACCUGUGGGCAAGAAACCCCAAUGCUACAACCUGCUGCCAGGACCCAGUCCAGACUGUGGACACCGGAGAAUUGAUUGCACCACCUUUGCUAGACAAAAUAAGUUUGAAUUUGUCAACAGGUUUCCACUUGGCUGGCAGACACAAUCAAGCAUCAGUUGCUGGCUACAAUCUGUUCCAAAUGACUGUGGACCCUGGAUUUGCUGAAAACUGCAAUGGACCAGUCUACCUGAUGUGAAUGCUCCCUGGUUCUUAAACAGAGUCCACAAACCAGAUGCUCCUGAUAAAUACCCCACUGCCUGAAUUUCCUCUUUGAUUUUGGCUAGCAUUUCAUCUUUGUUAGCUCUUGACAACAAUGUCCCAAGUCAGCUGGAAGCAGUUAAAAGAAUACAUUGUCUUGUAAUCCCUAGUUGAGAUGCUAAGUCAAAAGGGAAGACUCUGCAGUUUUAGGAAAGAAAUUCUAUUUUUACACUAACCAUUCAGGAAUUCUAAGAGACAAUUUGGCCAAAGUUAGGAAAGGA